rnacentral:rRNA from 1 species
AACCUUUUAGUAGCUGGUCUUUUUUCUUACCCGCUGAACUUAAGCAUAUCAAUAAGCGGAGGAAAAGAAACUAACAAGGAUUCCCCUAGUAACUGCGAGUGAAGCGGGAAAAGCUCAAAUUUAAAAUCUGGUGGUCUUUGGCCAUCCGAGUUGUAAUUUAGAGAAGCGUCUUCCGCGCUGGACCAUGCAUAAGUCUCCUGGAAUGGAGCGUCAUAGAGGGUGAGAAUCCCGUCUUUGGCAUGGACCCCCAGGGCUUCUGUGAUGCGCUCUCAAAGAGUCGAGUUGUUUGGGAAUGCAGCUCAAAAUGGGUGGUGAACUCCAUCUAAAGCUAAAUAUUGGCGAGAGACCGAUAGCGAACAAGUACCGUGAGGGAAAGAUGAAAAGCACUUUGGAAAGAGAGUGAAACAGUACGUGAAAUUGUUGAAAGGGAAACGCUUGAAGUCAGUCGCGUCGACCGAGACUCAGCCUUGCCUUGGCUUGGUGUACUUCUCGGCUGACGGGUCAGCAUCAAUUUCGAUCCUUGGAUAAUGGCAAGGGAAAGGUAGCACCUUUACAGGUGUGUUAUAGUCCUCUGUCGGAUGCAAGGGUUGGGAUUGAGGAACUCAGCACGCACCUUGUCGGUGUCGGGGCCUUGGCCUACGUUACGUGCUUAGGAUGCUGGCAUAAUGGCUUUAAACGACCCGUCUUGAAACACGGACCAAGGAGUCUAACAUGCACGCGAGUGUUCGGGUGGAAAACCCGUGCGCGUAAUGAAAGUAAAAGUUGGGACCUCUGUCGUGGAGGGCACCGACGCCCGGACCAGACCUUCUGUGACGGCUCUGCGGUAGAGCGUGUAUGUUGGGACCCGAAAGAUGGUGAACUAUGCCUGAAUAGGGUGAAGCCAGAGGAAACUCUGGUGGAGGCUCGUAGCGAUUCUGACGUGCAAAUCGAUCGUCAAAUUUGGGUAUAGGGCGAAAG